CCUGCCCCUAGAGGCGUUGCAGAUGUGGCUGCCAUGUCACAAUUGUGUCAUUAAGUGGCAGAGAGGCCUGUCUAUGCCCAGUGUUCUGGUGUGAGUGCCUGGAUGAUUGAUGGUCUGACAUU